rnacentral:rRNA from 1 species
GUAACAAGGUCUCCGUUGGUGAACCAGCGGAGGGAUCAUUGCUGGAACGCGCCCCUGGCGCACCCAGAAACCCUUUGUGAACUUAUACCUUACUGUUGCCUCGGCGCAGGCCGUCCCCUAUGGGGUCCCUUGGAGACAAGGAGCAGCCGGCCGGUGGCCAAAUUAACUCUGUUUUUACACUGAAACUCUGAGUACAAAAUAUAAAUGAAUCAAAACUUUCAACAACGGAUCUCUUGGUUCUGGCAUCGAUGAAGAACGCAGCGAAAUGCGAUAAGUAAUGUGAAUUGCAGAAUUCAGUGAAUCAUCGAAUCUUUGAACGCACAUUGCGCCCUCUGGUAUUCCGGAGGGCAUGCCUGUUCGAGCGUCAUUUCAACCCUCAAGCCUGGCUUGGUGUUGGGGCACUGCCUGUAAAAGGGCAGGCCCUGAAAUAUAGUGGCGAGCUCGCCAGGACUCCGAGCGUAGUAGUUAAACCCUCGCUUUGGAAGGCCUGGCGGUGCCCUGCCGUUAAACCCCAACUUUUGAAAAUUUGACCUCGG